rnacentral:rRNA from 1 species
GGGUCAGUAGGUUGGUCGUGCCACCGGUACGUACUGGUCUCACUGAUUCCUCCUUCCUGAAGAACCGUAAUGCCAUUAAUUUGGUGUUGCGGGGGAACAGGACUGCUACUUUGAAAAAAUUAGAGUGUUUAAAGCAAGCUAACGCUUGAAUACAUUAGCAUGGAAUAAUGAAAUAGGACGAUCGAUCCUAUUUUGUUGGUUUCUAGGAUUGACGUA